rnacentral:rRNA from 1 species
UACGGAGGGUGCAAGCGUUGUUCGGAAUCACUGGGCUUAAAGGGCGCGUAGGCGGGUUCCCAAGUCGGUGGUGAAAUCUUUCGGCCCAACCGGAAAACAGCCGCCGAUACUGGGAGUCUUGAGGGAGGUAGGGGUCGAUGGAACUUCCGGUGGAGCGGUGAAAUGCGUAGAUAUCGGAAGGAACGCCGGUGGCGAAAGCGAUCGACUGGACCUUUUCUGACGCUGAGGCGCGAAAGCCAGGGGAGCAAACGGG